GAGGGGCGCGCGCGGGGAAGGGAGCGAAGCCGGGGUCCCUCGACGGCCGGGUGGCCAGCUCUCAGGACUCCCUCGAGGGUGGUUGUUUUUAGCGGGAUUUCCAGUGUGGGAUGAGGGGGUGGGUGUGUUGUUUUAGUUUAUUUAUGUUCCUUUUAUUUCACAAGGUUUAUACAGUAUAGUAUACCUCUUGGCUGUGUAGAAAACCAGCGCCCAUGUGGGGUCUCUUGUCCAUCACCCCUGACUUCUGAGGGGGGUCCCAAGUGGGGUCUCUUGUCCGUCCAGCACCCCAGACUUCUGAAGGGGGUGCCAAGUGGAGUCUCUCAUCCGUCCAGCACCCCUGACCUCUGAGGGGGGUCCCAAGUGGGGUCUCUUGUCCGUCCAGCACCCUGACUUAUGAGGGGGGUCCCAAGUGGGUUGGGGUCUCUUGGCCCAGGGCUUUGCUGCUGAGGGAAGGAUGGGCCAACUCUACAGUUCUGUGAUUCUUGGGGUUGGGAUGGACAUACCAAUUUUAUUGUUUUGUAAAAUGUUUCUGCUGCUUGACUCACCCAUAUUACUGCCAGCUAGGGAUGGGCGAAUCUGUCCUCCUAGGUUUUCUUCAGUUCCUCAUUUUUCAGAACUUAAAUUCGGUUUCCCGCAUAUCUGUUUGCGAUUUAAGGGGGGGGGGGAGUCAUAAAAAGUCAUGAGUUUCGUGUGAAUUUUUUGUAAUACGUGUUUGCAGUUUUGCCUUUUUCUAGAGCAGCUUCCCCUAAUGCAAUGCAUUUUUGUAUUUUAUUGUUGAUAACAAACUUUUUUGUGCACACUUUUGUCACAUUGUGUGCAUUUUGUACAUAUUACUGAAGAACUGCGUUGCAAAUUUGCUCUGAAUUUUGCAUAUUUUGAGAGAUAGCUGUGUUUUCAGUUGGCAUAUUGCUUUUGAGAGUGCAGAUUAGGUAGGUUUGCCUUUAAAUGUGAACUGAAUUAACUAUCUCUCCCACUGCUACCACCAGCUCAUAAACAUAGUGUAGUGUACAGCAUACCUGACUUGAGGCAAGCUAAUUCUGUUUUAGUAGGGAGUGGGGAGAGAUGCAAUUGAACCUUGCCUUAAAACUCUACGUGAUUAGGUUUAACAUACUACUACUUUCCCCAUCCAAAAUUUCAUUUUUAACCCUUGCAGUUUUCAUUUGUUUCUUUCAAGUGUGGCAUCUGUUUAUCCUGUCUGGGAAUAGCAGAAACAGGUACUGAAACUGAUAGGCAACAAAAUAGUUCUCAUUCCAAAAGACAAAUCACCCUAUCAUUUCGUUCAGCUUACUUAUGAUGCAGUAAUGUCUCUACAUCUUAAAUGUUAUACAACAAAAUGGUGCUUUUGGCAUGGUAUGUUCUUAUUAAAAGUUAGGCAGCGAAGCCAGAAGCUUUUGAUUUGUUCAUUAGGAAAUUUAGCAUUGAUCCCUUUGUGCUUAGAGGAAUGAUGUCUGAUAGGGAUUGAUUAAACUUAAGAAGCAGCAUAUUUAAAUGCAACAAUGAUGGUGAGACAGCGGUAGAACAUUGUGUUUGCCUUUCUUUCCUUUGCUUUCAAAGCAGGUCUUGGAAAGGAAUUUCUUACUCCAGGGACCCAUGCUGUCUGUAAAUUAUAAAAGAGGAAACUGAAUAUCAUGGAUGGCGGUGGUGAUGAAUUCUCUGUAGAAGGCACUUACUAAAGCGACAAAAAUUGCAACGAAGAAAAAAAUAAUCCUGGUCUCCCACCAAAAUAUUUUCAUACAACAGACCAAAGAAACCAGUGGGAAAGUUGUUCUGAUUUCAGAGGACAAUGGAUAAAGUUCAGAGCAAAGCUGUAUGUUAUAAACACAUAUUUUGAUGCUGCAUGAUUCUUUUAUAAUCUCUAAAUAGCAGCAGCAGGAGAGCUCAAUAAGAGUCAGGACAAGUGAGGGGAGAAGGAGAUUUAUUAAGCUCUGAGCUGUAUGUCACACCUGCCUUCCCAAAACUGCUAUUUGUAUUAUGAGAAGCUAUUGUUCACAUGUCUUAUCUUAGAUCAGCGGUAGGGAACAUCCAGCCUGUAGGUCAGUCUUGGUCUGCCAGGGGGUCCAAUUUGACAUUCUAGGUAAUUUUCCCCAAACCAUGCCCACACACUCCCAGCUGACCACCUUCUUUAAACAGUUGGGCAGACAGGAGGGUAAAGGAGCUUGUAAAAUGUACAGAGAAUCAUAAAGCAAAAGUGCUCUUUGAAGUAGCCUCCCUACCCCAACAUUGCUUGAGCACUGCUUCAAAAAGCACUUCUGCAAAGCACUUAACACAGUCCCUGUUCUCCCAUCUGAGACUGUAGAAUGGAAGCAGGAGGACUGUCCUCAAGCACUUUGCAAAUUUGCUCUUUGAAGCAGCUUCCCGCUCUUCCUUCAAACAUCGCUUGAGAAAUAUUUAAAGGGGAGAGAUGGCUUAAAAUAGAUUUUGCAAAGCACUUUAAGCACUCUCCCCACUGCCUUUAACAUAGUGAUGUUAUAAGUAGGAGGGGCUGCUUGAAAUAACUUUUGCAAAGGGUUUUCAUAUGCCGACACUCCCUGCUCCUGGGAGCUCAUGUGGAAGUGUGGGGUUUGCCUUUGAAGAAGCUGUUGCAGAUUCCCAAGUGCUCAACAGCCAGCUGGCUGUUGGGCACUUGGAAACCCUAUUUUAUAAAUUAAAAAUAAAAAGUGGUUCAGUUCAUUAAUGAAUUAGUUUCCCUAUUUCACAGAUAAGCAUUCAUUUAAAAAACCCAGAUAAACUGAACCAUGCAAACAGCUGUUCUUUUGCUAAGCCAUUUGCACAGCAGAUGCAGGUGCCACUGGGAUUUUGGCAUUCCAGGCAGUUGCCUAGUUUGCUUCUAUAGUUAGACCAGCUCUGUGCAUUGCUAAGUGUGUUCUCACUGUGCUGCUAAUCGCUUUUAGUUGUGGGCUUAUGUAAACAUGGAAAUGUGCUCAAAUGUGGAAUAAGUGCUCAAAGUGUUUUUAUUUAAUAUUUGGGGUAGUGAGAAACCCUCUCUCUCACUUUAAAGGAUUGGGAAGUCCAAUCUCUGCAUAAAUGAGCACCUUAUUUGAAGAUGUCCAAACUCCUCAGCAAUCCUUACUUUUUGCAAAUUAAAGAUGCAAAAAGUGAAAAUGCCAAAAAUGAGUAAAUGAAAUGGACAGAUUAAUCCAUGUCUACUAUCAGCCUUGUGGGCUAGCAAGUGAAUAGCACAGACUAGCAAGUCCAGCAUAUCUUUGUAUUUGGGAGUGGAGGUGCAAUUCAACCAAGCCCUUAAACUAGAACUCUCAAUCGCUUUUCUCUAAGCAGUUACAACAAAUCUUGUGUGCAGAUGUAGAACUGUGACCCUAGUUUAUGCAUAUAGCAUCAGGGGAAUUGGAAUGAGGUGUCAUCAAUAUACAGAAGAUGCCCAGAUGCAGGUGCUGAACUGAGGUCUGGUGGUGAUAAUAGGUUGCAUGUAGGCCAGUAAAUUGAAACUGAAUCCAGACAACACUGACGUACUGUGACUUGAUGGGUUCUUGGUCCAGGAUUUGAAAGAUCACUUUGGGGUGCUCCUGAGGCCACAUUUGUCACAUUAAGCCCAGGUGGAUUCAGUGGCUGGGAAUAUCUUCCCAGCUGUAGCUGCUUCAUCAAAUAUAGUCUUUCCUGGACAGAGAGAGCUGGCCACAGUAUUUAAUAUAUAUGUAUUUCCUGCUCUGUGACUAUCUAGGAAAGGGUUGGCUAUAAACACUUGAAAUAAAUAUUCAAAUACUCUUGCAAUGUGGUUUUUACCAUCACAAGUGAAUCAGUGUCUGCCUUACUGUUACCAUUAACCGGUUUUAUGUGAUGCUUGUGUUUGGUCUCAAUUACUAAAAACAUAUUUUCCCUUGAAUUAUUUUAAUAUUCUCCAGGAAUGGAGCACGCAUUAGGAUAAUUCAGAACUUGAAAUUCAGCUACAAAUGCAGCACCAAUGAGGCCACCCACAUCACCAGCUGCUCUUGAUUAAUCCACUUUUCUUUCUACAAAGCCUCUAAUGAAUACUCUGUAGGACCAAGGCCCUUAUUUAUCUGGGGAAACCAUCUGAUUUCUUUUCACAUCCAUUAGUUGGGCGGAGGUAUGGGGGAGAAACAAAAGAAAUUAAAAUCUUAGGCUACACACAAAAUGAAACACGCAAGACCUAUAGACAGAGUUGUCAGGACUCAACCAAGAGUUCUGAAGCAGUAGAAGCUGAUGUGGGUUAACUGUUUGCAGCUGUUCCCAGAGGGAGGGAAAGAGGUUUAUGUUUGGGUACCCCCCCCAAGUUCAAUCAGGACACCCCACUGUAAAGACAAAUAGUACUUGAUCCAAGUGACAUCUCAGAACUAGCUCUGUAUAUUGGAGAAAACACCAGGUACUCUGACUAAUCAUUUGGGAAGGUUUUCAAAGCUUUGUCUCUCGUGGCACGCUCAACCCCAGAUCCACAUGCUUUCCCUAUAAUUAUUCUAAUGAUCACAAAUGAACACUUCAGCAUUUGUGAUGUAUUCUAGAAUCAAAGUAAUGGGCAUCAGAUAAAACCACAGAUAGCAUUCACGAUACAGAUUUCCUGUGACUACAAGUGUAGCAAAGGAGAGAAUUUUGGUAGGCUCAGUUUCUCUUUCAUUUCUGCAUAAAAUUAAGGGCUAUUGAUAAAUUAUGUAAUGGGAAAGGAGUUUUGUGGCAUUCACUGGCCCCUUGCUUGAUUUUGAACUUAAGCCCAUCACAAGCUGAAGACCUAGUAUUUGCCAAUAAAUUGUACCUGCUUUUCCAAACCUAAGGAAAUAUCACCUCUCAGUCCUUGCCUGUUGUGCAGCUGCUAAAAAAAGGAUAGACCUUUUUUCUGCACAAGGGUGUGCAGGUGUUUAAAAUGUCAAUAUGUCUGGAAUAAUACCCACUCUUUCCAUAUACAAACAGCCCCAGGAAUUUAUGAGAACUCAGCAUGGAAAAGAUGGUAUUUGGUUGAUUGCAGAGGAAAUUUCUAAAUAGCUAUGGACCAUAGCAAGGGUCCAAAUUUGCCUGGAGCGCUACACUAAAGUGUACCUAGCUAACAGUUAAUCCAAACCUGGAAAGAAGCAAAGUAGCUCUGCAAGUUGUCAGGCUCUUCAAAAUCACAGUUUGCCUUGCAUCUUUGACUAAAUAAUAGUUUAGGAAACACUCCUGGGCACAAGUAAUGUGUUCCAUGCGGCUGCUGGCCCCAGUCUGAGAAAACAAUAGGAAACAGCUGCUAAAACACAAAACCGGGGCCCUGGGGAGUAGCAACUUUUCAGAAAUGUGUGGCAUACAGAGGAAAGAAUGUGAAAAGGGGAAUAAAUAAUCAAGUCUACCUCUCUUAAGGAAAAUCCCAUUGAAUCUGGGGAGUGGGGGACACUCCACCUGAUUUGUUCACUUGCACCCCACCAUAUGGACACAUGUUCCAGGUUGCAAUCUGCCCCUCAAACUGUUCUACCCCCCCCCCCGCCAUGAGAAUCUAGUAAAACCUGUAAAAUUAAUGUUGUUCUUGCAUCGUGACAAGAACAAAAUUGCCAACUUUUGCGUUUUACUCAUUUGGCAGGAACUGCCCUGGCUGGACUAGUCAGACUAAGAUCCAUUUCAUCCAGCAUUCUGGACUAGACUCUUAGCAUAUGAUUCUAAUACCUUCAGCAUUGUAGGGUUGCAGGGCCAACCCUAAGUUAAACAGAGUGAGGUAACUGCCUUAGGUAGCAGCUGUUCAGGAACAGCAGUAUCAGCCUCCAGAAUUUCCUAUUGACUCCCCCUCUGCUGCCACAUGGUCCCUUUGGGGACUGCUGCUUCAGGUAUGGUACAGGAUGUUAUCCGAUCACACGUGUUGAGGUAAGACUCAAUUGCCAGUGCAGUCAGCUUCUGAACUUGGAAUUGUGAAGGGGCAACAUCUUGUCCUGCAGCUCAGGCAGCAAAAUGUAUGGGGCCAGCUGGGUGGGCUGCAGCAGUAUGGUGUAGUAGCGGAUAGUGUGUUGGAUUAGGAACUGGGAGAUCAGGGUUCAGAUACUCAGCUGUGAAACUUGUUGAGUGACCUUGUGCCAUUGAGGAGUAUAUAAAUUUUGUUAACUAAAUAGAUUAAAUAGAAUAAAGACAUGCAUUUCUUCAAAAUGUCCAGAGAAGCAGAGGCAGUAGAACGGAGAUGGUUUAUUAUAAGUAGCAUCUCACAGAAAAUGUUCAGAUUCUCUCCGUGUUGCGUAGAUUUGUGUUGGGUCUCCAUGGUGAUGUCCUGUGUUACUGCAACACAGAAAAACAUCUUUGCAAAGGGCCAAUAAACAUACAGGAAGAAGUUAGCAAGCGUGACGUUAAAAAAAGAGGAUCUUACUUCAUGGUGACUGUUCUUCAUAUCUUGCUUUCCAGCCUGUUGGGUGUUAACACCUCCUGUACAUGCAAAUGUACUUAUUUUUAAGCUUUCAAUGUCAAGCAAGUUUUCAGUAUUAAGGUUUCCCUGUUUCUGAUCAUUGGAUAUUAGAAAUGUGUUCUUGAAAUUGAUUAUUUUAAUAGCACCCUUUCAGAGAACUAAAUGCUUUGCUAUUCUUAUUUUGAUUCACAACAGCCCUGUGGAAUAACUGCAAAGUCGUAAACUGUUUCUUAAGUGAAAACUAGUCUGACGAAUUGCCAACUCUUUAUUUACUGCAAUUGGAUUACAUGUGUUUUUAAUUACCCUAUUAAUGGGAUUCCCAUGAGUAAGUGUCCUGCUUCAGGCCCAGCAAAUGCAGAUAGAGGAUCUUAAGUAAGAAAGAGAUCUUAAUUCAGGAAAGCACAGGCUUGGCAGCAGACAGAGUUCGGGAGUCAUGAUUCAGGGAUUCAGUAAACGAGCCAGAUAUUCAGAACUGGACAAAAGCAACAAAGAUGUCCCAACAGCUUCCACACAUACCAAGCUUUUAAAGAUAAUGCACAGCACACUCGCUUCUUAUGCAGAAAUGUCUGGACUGCAAAUGUGCUCUCCAGGGGGAGUGUCUGCUCCUAUCUGCAGAGAUGGCGCCUGUUUUAUAUAAGAAGACUGGCUCCUGAUCACUCUUUGCCAUCUCCUGAAUUGUUCACCUUCCACACCCAGCCAUUGGUCCCACCUGGUGUGCACACACACAUGCCCCGGACACCAACAAAAGAUGCAACACCACUGUCCUGAGGAUCAGCAAGUGGGGGGGGGCACAUUUGAAGGGGAGACCCAGCCUAUAGGUUUCCCACCUGUGUUUUAAAUAGCUCCAUAUUAUAAUCACUGAAGAGGCAUAAACCUCUCUCAAACUGUUCUUCAUUCUGUCAUCCUACUCAUAAUUGUGCCAUCUCAGUCAGCUUAGAUCUCAUGGCAGCGUUCCAUAUUUUAUUAAUCCACUUUUGUUCCAUUGGAAUUGCUGGCGUAUGCUAUUUGAGUGUUGCUAAAAAAAAUUUUUUUGCUUUAGUUAACAUAUUUCCCACCAAAUUAUGGCAUUCCAGAUGUAUAUCAUUUUUAAGAUACUCUAAAAGGAAUUGUAAUGGCCUCAGUGGCAGUAAAUUAUAGCCUAGCAUAUUUUGUAUAAUGUUAAUAAUGCCCCACAAACUACUGAUUUUUGCACAAAUCCAUCGUACAUAUAUAAAGUAUAAAGGCUGCUUUCCUUGCACCAGAUUUCCAGCAUGCACUACCAGUAUGAGGAUUCAUAUUUGCAAGGCAAAGCGGAGACAACUACUAGUAGAAUAUCUAAAUUAAAAUAUAUUUAUUUAUUUAAGUAUUCAUAACCCACACUUUCAUAAAUUUAUAUCAAGACGGUAUACAACAUACAAUGUUAUAAUAAAAUCAGCAAAUGCAUCCAUAAAACAUCGUGAAAAAUAUCAACAAAGCAUGUAUCUUCCAAAGGAUGUUUAAAAGAAUAGAGUGGAGACUCCUGCCAAAUCUCUGCUGAAGGACAACUGAACCACAAGGGCACGGGGGCCCUCAAGAAGCACCCCAUCAGAGGAUAUUUGUGCAAGGUGAUAGCACCAAAUUUUUGGACAAUACAUUUCCCUGUGCUUCUGUAAUAUUAAUUGUCACAGAUAAUGCAGAUUGUAUGUGUAAAUCCAGUAACGGGCUUCCCACCCCUUCCUGGAGAGGUGAGAAUUUCCUUGCAUCUAAGAAAGUGUUGGGCAAAUGCUCUGCCACUGAGCUUUGGUCCUUCCCUUAAGACACAGGAAAAUAGGAAGCGGACUUGCACUGAGUCAGACCAAAUAACAGCUUCAGAGAAGUGUGUGGGAAGGAUUGUGACAGCGGUAGAAAUAAUUGAACUUCUACUCUCCAGCAGUUCCAGUGUUGAUCAGGCUUCUCCA
rnacentral:lncRNA from 1 species